rfam:Solanum lycopersicum cultivar Heinz 1706 chromosome 7, whole genome shotgun sequence.
ACCAAUUCUGGGGGAUGGUUAGUUCCUCUUGGCAUAAUGGCUCAGACGCAAUAUUGUGAGUGGUUAUAUCCUGAUUGAUGGACUUGUUAUAGUAGUGCCAUAUUAUCCUGGAAACGCUACUUACAUUU